rnacentral:tRNA from 1 species
AAAUAAGAAGCAAAAUUUUGCAUUUAGUUUCGACCUAAAAAUUUGGUUAUUACCCUUAUUUU